AACUGUUGCAAAAGCACUAAUUAGCGG
rnacentral:sRNA from 1 species